UACGGAGGGGACUAGCGUUGUUCGGAAUUACUGGGCGUAAAGCGCACGUAGGCGGAUUUGUAAGUCAGGGGUGAAAUCCCGGGGCUCAACCUCGGAACUGCCUUUGAUACUGCAAAUCUCGAGUCCGGAAGAGGUGAGUGGAAUUCCUAGUGUAGAGGUGAAAUGCGUAGAUAUCCGGAGGAACACCGAUGGCGAAGGCAACCGCCUGGGCCUGUACUGACGCUGAGACACGAAAGCGUGGGGAGCAAACAGG
rnacentral:rRNA from 1 species